GACGAACGCUGGCGGCGUGCUUAACACAUGCAAGUCGAACGGAAAGGCCCUGCUUUUGUGGGGUGCUCGAGUGGCGAACGGGUGAGUAACACGUGAGUAACCUGCCCUUGACUUUGGGAUAACUUCAGGAAACUGGGGCUAAUACCGGAUAGGAGCUCCUGCUGCAUGGUGGGGGUUGGAAAGUUUCGGCGGUUGGGGAUGGACUCGCGGCUUAUCAGCUUGUUGGUGGGGUAGUGGCUUACCAAGGCUUUGACGGGUAGCCGGCCUGAGAGGGUGACCGGCCACAUUGGGACUGAGAUACGGCCCAGACUCCUACGGGGGGCAGCAGUGGGGAAUAUUGCACAAUGGGCGGAAGCCUGAUGCAGCAACGCCGCGUGCGGGAUGACGGCCUUCGGGUUGUAAACCGCUUUCGCCUGUGACGAAGCGUGAGUGACGGUAAUGGGUAAAGAAGCACCGGCUAACUACGUGCCAGCAGCCGCGGUGAUACGUAGGGUGCGAGCGUUGUCCGGAUUUAUUGGGCGUAAAGGGCUCGUAGGUGGUUGAUCGCGUCGGAAGUGUAAUCUUGGGGCUUAACCCUGAGCGUGCUUUCGAUACGGGUUGACUUGAGGAAGGUAGGGGAGAAUGGAAUUCCUGGUGGAGCGGUGGAAUGCGCAGAUAUCAGGAGGAACACCAGUGGCGAAGGCGGUUCUCUGGGCCUUUCCUGACGCUGAGGAGCGAAAGCGUGGGGAGCGAACAGGCUUAGAUACCCUGGUAGUCCACGCUGUAAACGGUGGGUACUAGGUGUGGGGUCCAUUCCACGGGUUCCGUGCCGUAGCUAACGCUUUAAGUACCCCGCCUGGGGAGUACGGCCGCAAGGCUAAAACUCAAAGGAAUUGACGGGGCCCCGCACAAGCGGCGGAGCAUGCGGAUUAAUUCGAUGCAACGCGUAGAACCUUACCUGGGUUUGACAUGGAUCGGGAGUGCUCAGAGAUGGGUGUGCCUCUUUUGGGGUCGGUUCACAGGUGGUGCAUGGCUGUCGUCAGCUCGUGUCGUGAGAUGUUGGGUUAAGUCCCGCAACGAGCGCAACCCUUGUUCACUGUUGCCAGCACGUUAUGGUGGGGACUCAGUGGAGACCGCCGGGGUCAACUCGGAGGAAGGUGGGGAUGACAUCAAGUCAUCAUGCCCCUUAUGUCCAGGGCUUCACGCAUGCUACAAUGGCUGGUACAGAGAGUGGCGAGCCUGUGAGGGUGAGCGAAUCUCAGAAAGCCGGUCUCAGUUCGGAUUGGGGUCUGCAACUCGACCUCAUGAAGUCGGAGUCGCUAGUAAUCGCAGAUCAGCAACGCUGCGGUGAAUACGUUCCCGGGGCU
rnacentral:rRNA from 1 species